GUGCUAACUUCAGCAGCAUGUAAGCUGAAAUUGGAACAGUACAGAGAAAAUCAGCAUGGUCCUCGUGCAAAGAUAACAUGCUGACUCAUGAAGCUGUCCAUAUUUUU